CGGGACGUGGCGCAGUCCGGUAGCGCACUUGACUGGGGGUCAAGGGGCCGGAGGUUCAAAUCCUCUCGUUCCGACGA
rnacentral:tRNA from 1 species